UGGAGGCGGGGCCGGGGCUGCCGGGUAGAGGUGCACCUUAUAGUCCGGUGCGCCUUAUGGUCGUGAAAUUACUGUAAGCCCAAAGACUGGGACAUCCUGCACUACAGGGAUCUCCUUCAGAGGCAAAAAAUCUGAGAGAGAAGAAACACCAAGCAGACCAAAUGGGGAGGAAAACAUCCUCCAAGAGAAGAAGGUUAAGUGCAAGAACCAGCUCAGCCUUCAGCCUUUGUCUCCCUAUUUUUUUUCCUGAAUUGCAGAGGGAUUCAGCUGUCGAAUUUUAAUAGG